UGACGAGUCCCAAAUAGGACGAAACACGCGUC
rnacentral:hammerhead_ribozyme from 1 species